AGGGGUGUAGCUCAACGGUAGAGCCGUCGUCUCCAAAACGAUUGGUUGGGGGUUCAAAUCCCUCCGCUCCUG
rnacentral:tRNA from 1 species